AGGAACCAGAGAGAGCAGCAGUGAGUACUGCUCCAGAGUGUUCAGAGCCUGCUCAGUCAGUCAGUCCAGUUAGCCAGAGGUGAGUGGAACUAAACUUAAUCUUUUAAAUGGAACAUGAAAUGCUUUUAGCAUCAGUCAUGCAUUCAUGCGUAUAUUGUAGGUUGUGUGCAUUAGUAUCCACGAAUAUGUUGCAUUGCAUAGUGAUCUGUUGAUGUGAGUAAAUGCUGAAUGAUCCAAUAGUCACAGACAGGAAGUCCAGGAGCCUUUGACUACGCCCUGGCAGGUAUAG
rnacentral:lncRNA from 1 species